rnacentral:lncRNA from 1 species
AUGAACGACUGCAGAGAGGAGUUGAAAUUAAGUCAGCAGAGAUCACGAUUUGUUUUGGCUCAGAUCCUAAUCCAGUUUAUAAUCCAAGGUCUGGAGUCCCAGUACCAGAUUACUCUGAGUGAUGAAGAAAUGAUAGCCAGGAACUCUGUAGACACAGACAAGGAAAAUCUGUGAUAUCCUCCUAUGUGUUGCUCUUACCUGAAGGUAUUCUGCUCUUCAUUUCAGCUUCAAGAAUGUUGAAGAAAGACUUACAGAUAUAUUUGUGUCUCAUCUGUUUCACACUGGGCUCUGCUGAAUUUAAAGCAUUCAUCUACUGAUGGAAAAAACACUUAAAUGCUUAGUUUAUACUUAUUAUACUUACUGUCGUAUUAUACCAGGAACUAGCCUUCUAUUGUAGUCAAGUUAAUCUUUUCACUAAUUUCUGCCCUAAAAUUUCACAAACAGUUGAAAAUUUUAAGAAUUAACAUUUAAAUUUGUUUUUCCACGCAGUUUUCCUUAUAGCUUCUACUCUGGAUAUUCUAGGGUUCAGUUUGACAUGCAUUUGUCUACAACCUAUAUCAUUGUGGCUGCAUGAAACUGCCUUUGUUUUCAGAUGACUGAAAUUUUUCUGUUCAAACAGUGAUGGUUAUGGUUAUGUCAUACUUCUUUUAUAUGAUUGUUUAGUGGCUAGAGCUGUUUCUACACAAUUUGGGUUUGUCUGAGUCACAUUUUCUCUCUUCCAAAGGAGUGAAGGAAUGAACCCAUUUAUAUUUGUGAUCUUUCCCCUUGAAUCUGAACUAUUGUCCAGCUAAACUGCUUUGGUGAAAUGUUCCAAAUAUAGAAAAAUCUUUAAAAUUUGUUCAUACAUUUGAAAAGACUUUCACUUUCUACCAGACAGCAGUUUUUCUCUAGGUCUUCAUUCUCCAAAGAUUUUAUCUUCUUAGGAUAUUGCAAAGAUGAAUUAUUCACCUCUGAGCCCUACUGCGGUGACAGCAAUAUGACAAAGAAGUCUAUUGAGUAAUAAUUAUUAUUCUGUUUAGUGAAAAGAAACUGGAAUAAAUAAGGUCAGAAUUACAAAAUAAAUGGGAAGAUAAGAAGAAAUAUUGAUUAGCUGCUCUUGAAAAGAGAACCAAUCAUCUCGUGCAGUGUUGAAAAAAUACCAAGUAAUUACUUAAUUAAAGAUUGUAUCACCUAUACACAUAAACAAGAGUUGAAUUAAUAAUGUACAGGCAAAAUUCUGAUGUCUGAAGAUAAUUAUGAAAAGUGCUGUAAAAUCAGUGAGGAUUUUGUUAUUGAUAUUGAUUUUGUAUGGAAAACAGUCAGUUCACAAGGUGAUGGCCUAGAUUUAGAAUCUAAGGUAGCAAAAAAAUAUUUCCAACAUAUUUAAUUAUUUUAGAGAUUAAAUCAUCAUCUUUAAUGUUUUUUGAAUACUGUAAUAUCUUUUAAAUGCAGAAAAGUAUACGGUCUUCUAUUUAAAAAUUAAUUUGUAUGGCAAAAGGAAAGUAGGUCACACAGGGAAUUCUUUUCUUUUUCUUUUCUUAAUAGGACAUCUGAUGCCAACAAAUCUCUUCUAUGAUUUAUAAUCAGAGCAUUCAACUCUCAAAAAUAAAUAAAUCUGGAACUUUGUAGUUAUUUAACAUUCAUGUUUACUAUAAAGAAAUUGAUUUAACUUGACUCAAUCUGUGUUUAAAUGGGAAAUUAUAUGGUGGUAAAAUAAUCUGUGGCUUAUAGAACAA